GACGAACGCUGGCGGCGUGCUUAACACAUGCAAGUCGAACGGAAAGACCCUGCUUUUGUGGGGUGCUCGAGUGGCGAACGGGUGAGUAACACGUGAGUAACCUGCCCUUGACUUUGGGAUAACUUCAGGAAACUGGGGCUACUACCGGAUAGGAGCUCCUGCUGCAUGGUGGGGGUUGGAAAGUUUCGGCGGUUGGGGAUGGACUCGCGGCUUAUCAGCUUGUUGGUGGGGUAGUGGCUUACCAAGGCUUUGACGGGUAGCCGGCCUGAGAGGGUGACCGGCCACAUGGGGACUGAGAGACGGCGCAGACUCCUACGGGAGGCAGCAGUGGGGAAUAUUGCACAAUGGGCGGAAGCCUGAGGCAGCAGCGCCGCGUGCGGGAUGACGGCCUUCGGGUUGUAAACCGCUUUCGCCUGUGACGAAGCGUGAGUGACGGUAAUGGGUAAAGAAGCACCGGCUAACUACGUG
rnacentral:rRNA from 1 species